CAAAAUUAUUUGGCCGCCCACCAACGUUUGGCAUCGGGAUUGACGCCUUGAACGGGCUCGUCGGGAAUGUCACCCGGGCAGAGGAACGUCACGUCGCCGCAUCUCGGAAAGGAAAUAUUUUGACGUCGGAACAUUGACGUGCUGUGACAUCAAAGAAGUGAACCAACCGACACUUGGAUGAAAGACGCCGACGCGAGCGAGCUUUGUUGCAGGCGGCAGCGCCGAUCUCUUUUGCGGGUGACAAACGCAGCUUCUCUUUUCUCUUCCUAUUUAUUUGACUCGGAAUGUGUUGAGCGUUAGCCCAGUUUGCGCUCGCUCGCUCGUGGCGUCCAGGUUUUGGUCCCUGCUGGAUUCGUCUUCCUCGAGGCUCCACGUUUGAAGUUUGCCGUCCAAUUAAAAUCCUGCACGCGGUUGGUGUUUGUUUUGCCUUGCCGUCGCACAAACGUCAACGCCAUCCUUUCAUCUUAUUUGAAUUUGCAUUAAAAAAAAAAAGAAA